ACUUUAAUUGAAGAGUUUGAUCAUGGCUCAGAUUGAACGCUGGCGGCAGGCCUAACACAUGCAAGUCGAGCG
rnacentral:rRNA from 1 species